ACCCUCUUACCGCGAUGUCGUUUGAAAAGACUAUAGUUCUGGUAUUUCCAACACCUCCUAAACGCAACACUCGCAGACUGGUUUUGCCGCGAUGGAAAGAAAAGUACUCGCUUUACAGGCGAGGAAGAAGAGGACAAAGCCUCGAAAAUCUGGAAAGAAGCCAGAGCCUCAGAGCUGUGGUGGCACCUCCAAGCCAAGUCCGACAGACUCGCCUGUCCCCGAUCAAGACGAGGAGAUCCUGGGCUCUGACGAUGAUGAGCAAGAAGACCCCAGUGACUACUGCAAGGGGGGAUAUCACCAUGUGAAGAUUGGAGAUCUUUUUAACGGUAGAUACCAUGUGAUCCGUAAGCUUGGCUGGGGGCACUUCUCGACUGUGUGGCUAGCUUGGGACAUCCAGGAGAAGCGCUUUGUCGCUAUGAAGGUUGUGAAAAGCGCUGAGCAUUACACAGAAACGGCCCUGGAUGAAAUCAAGCUACUCAAAUCUGUGCGGAACACAGACCCCGCUGAUCCCAGCAGGGAGCGAGUGGUGCAGCUUCUUGAUGACUUCAAAAUUUCUGGCAGGAACGGCACGCAUAUCUGCAUGGUCUUUGAGGUGCUGGGGUACCAUCUUCUAAAGUGGAUCAUCAAGUCAAAUUAUCAAGGCCUACCAUUGCCUUGUGUCAAAAGCAUCAUUCGACAGGUCCUCCAGGGUUUAGAUUACCUCCACACGAAAUGUAAAAUCAUACACACAGACAUCAAGCCAGAAAACAUUCUUCUCACCGUCAACGAGUCCUAUAUCAAGAAAAUGGCUGUCGAAGCGACGCAAUGGCAGAAAACUGGCGUGGUGCCGCCCUCCGGCUCUGCAGUGAGUACAGCUCCAGCACCCAAGCCGACGGCCAAAAUGUCAAAGAAUAAAAAGAGAAAGAUGAAGAAGAAGCAGAAGAAGAAGCAGGCAGAGCAGCGACAGGUGGGAGGAGAAGCGUCACUCAAAGCUGGAGAAGAGAGAGAGGAGGACACAAAAGAAACCACGUCUGACGUCUCUACUGCCCCCACCUCGGUGUCGACCACGUUGCAAAAUGACACGGAGCAUCCUAUCGCAGAAUCUCCCAUUGUCAAGCUCCCCCAAGAGGUGGCUGAGCCAAGUGUACUCACAGAGGGCGCCACCAAGGAGGAGGGUACCAUGGAGGUCAACUGCAACGGUAACGCCUCCGAACCGGUGAGCGAGGCCACCCAAGAAAGCCCGGAACAUGGGACCAAGCAGUCUGCAGAAGAGCUAGAGGACCAACAGAAUGAAAACCAAGUAGACGACAAAAUACAGACUCUCGACAAAGUACGCAGCAAAGACGACUUCCAGAGCUGUAACGGCCGCUCAGAGGACCCCGAGCCACCCGCUUCCUUCGGCUCAGAUGUUGCCCCUUCAGAGAUGAUUGAUGCUGUCAAGGUAGAGCGAAAGGAGGAGGAUAUGGACACACAAGGGGAGAACAAAACGCAAGGUCAAGAUGAAGAGAAUAGUUUGAGUGAAUCAUCUAGUAGCUUGUUAGUAAAUCCCUUGGACCCUCUGAAUGCUGACAAGUUGCAGGUUAAGAUCGCCGACCUUGGAAACGCCUGCUGGGUGCACAAGCAUUUUACGGACGACAUCCAGACUCGGCAGUAUCGUUCACUCGAGGUGCUGCUAGGAGCUGGCUACGGCACGCCGGCAGACAUUUGGAGCACAGCCUGCAUGGCCUUCGAACUGGCAACCGGAGACUAUUUGUUUGAACCUCACUCAGGAGAAGAUUAUUCCAGAGAUGAAGAUCACAUAGCUCUGAUCAUCGAGCUGCUCGGCAAGGUUCCUCGCAAGCUGAUCACGGCAGGCAAAUACUCCAAGGAGUUUUUCACCAAGAAAGGUGACCUGCGACACAUCACAAAGCUGAAGCCAUGGGGGAUGUUUGAUGUGCUGGUGGACAAGUACGAGUGGUCCAAAGAAGAGGCGCACAACUUCAGCAGCUUCCUGCAGCCAAUGCUGGACCUUGUCCCUGAAAGAAGGGCCACGGCUGCUCAGUGUCUCUCUAAUGCCUGGCUGGCAUAAGAUGGCGUGCAGAUAAUUGUGAUACACACACACGCACGCACACACCGCUAGAUGCACACAGGAUGGGUGUGUAGAUUAUGGGCUUAAAACCGAAACUGUGCACUCUUCAUGGCCUUCAGAUGCAGCCGGCACACACUUGUCACACCAGCUAAGACCGCACCUUAGUUGCCAUCCACAUUCUUUUUAGAUUACCGACAGAAGAGGAAGCAAAUGUUCUUGGAUUCAUUUCGUAGGGCUGAAGGCCAGGAAGGCGAGGAUGAGCGAGUCCAUGAUGCUGAUGAUGGCCAGGAUAUAGGCCCAGCGCACCGUGCAGUUGCCCAGGGUGUAUUUGUCAGUCCGCUGGCCGCACAUUCGCUUCACCUCCUCCGAGUCCCAGCCGUCAGGAUAAAUCAUGCAGCCGAUCACCAUGCAAGCGCCUAACGGAGAAGGGGCCGCAGGAGGUCGGCGACCUCGAGGUGUCCCUAAUUUUGUGACCUAGCUGUGUCUGCUUUAUGCUCACUGACUGGAGGCCAGUUGCAUCCAGGCGCAGAUCUUGUACACGCUGCCGGCGUUGCAAAAGAAGAAAAGGCUGAAGCACACGAUGCUGCCCACCACCAGCAGCGUGGAGAUGCCCACGAAGAACAUUGCCGUCUUGAAGGCCCCAGACGGGAUGGAGCCAAAGUCCAGAGCGCUGCCUUUACAGAUGAGCUCCGAGGUGAGCGCAUUGCCGAUGCAGUAGUGGAAGAGGCCAAAGUAGCCGGCUUGGGGCGUGUUGACGCUGUCCCCGAUCCAGUAGGGCUGGAUGAACACCACCACCGUGAUAACUGCGAACGUGAUGGUGAACACGGUCCAUAGCACUCCUACCGCGCGGGCGUUGCGCACGUAGUUGGUGUGGUAGAUCUUGGCCGCCUCCUGGGCUGGCAACAUGGUCAUCUCGUUUUGGGGAUAAAAAAAAAAAAUCUGCUCCCAAAACGAUCUUUAUGAGAAGUGUAUUUAUUUUGAUGUGGCUCCAACAACCGCCCCCGACAAUGAAGAGAUAAUACCACCCACUGGAGAAGGGUUAUACCCUCUAAAUGUCCCACUCAUGUAUGAUUCAUUGUAAAAUGAGGCGCCUGCCAGAUGGUGCUGAGGCUCAGCUGAUACUUUCACUCCCAAGGUAUUCACUUUCAAUAACAUGAAGACAUAACACAAAGUUCCCCAACAUUAGAGUGAAGGCACAUGCAAUAUGGGCAUGUAAUGUAUAUCUGACAGCACACCACCAAACAAAAACUAUACAGAGCAGAUCUUAACCAAAUCUAAUCACAAAUUUACCCAGGGUGAAAUCUGAGCCUCUUUAAUUGAACACAACACAAGUGGAUACACAGAUUAAUUGGAAUUUCCGCCAUCUAGUGGACGAAUACGCAAUUGCAUGUCACCCUCCACUACUCCUGGGAUAUAAAUAAGCGACGAUAUAGUAGGAAGUUAUCGACGUAUAAUAUCAACAUUUGAAUUUUACAUUCAAUUAAAAUUUGUUUUUAGUUAUGAUUUGGAUGAACAAUAACACAAAUACACACCGAGUAAUUGUAUUUGACAGGAUGAACACUAGGUGGCAGCACAGAGGCGGAAAGUACUGCACAGACAUCAGUUUGUACACUUAUUAAAAUUUACCAUCCAUUCAUUAUCCGAACCGCUUCACGAGGAUCGCAGGGGUGCGCAAACCUGUCCCAGGCGGUUUCGGCCAGUAGAUUCGAACCCAAUUGCAAAAAUGGGAAGAAAACUCAUAAAGCAAAACAUACUUUAUCGUUUCUCGUGCAAGGGCAGACAUUUUACAAUGGCUGUAAAAUACACACAGGCCUCCUGACGUUACUGUUUAAUCUUAUAUGGAGCUCCUUUUCUUGCUUUCAGUUUUGUUUUCUCCGUAAUGCAGCCUCGUUAUCAGAUUGCAUUAAUAAAGCAGAAUAAUGAUGGAA